UGCCUACAUUGUCAACUUGUGUUUAUAUGAAUGUAUUAUCUAGCCUUAUUAAAUCAAUUUACCUUUGGCACUGUCUGGAAUAAUGUUUAAUGUUAUUUUACAUUUAUUAUCAAUAUCGGUGUUAUCAUUCCAUUGAAGAUGAAGAUAUUAAAGCCAAAAUACGGGAUGUAAAGACGCAAUAUGGGAAAGAAACGGCAAGUAACGAGCGUCGAUGACGAGUGGGCCACGUACAAGCAAAGUGUGUUCCUGUAUUAGAGAGGUGUCUGUAUUAGAGAGAUGUGUGUAUUAGAGAGGUGUUUGUAUUAGAGAGGUGUCUGUAUUAGAGAUGUGUCUGUAUUAGAGAGGUGUCUGUAUUAGAGAGGUGUCUGUAUUAGAGAUGUGUCUGUAUUAGAGAGGUGUCUGUAUUAGAGAGAUGUGUGUAUUAGAGAAGUGUCUGUGUUAGAGAGGUGUCUGUAUUAGAGAGGUGUCUGUAUUAGAGAGGUGUCUGUGUUAGAGAGGUUUCUGUAUUAGAGAGGUGUCGCCGUAUUAGAGAGGUGUCCCCGUAUUAGAGAGGUGUCUGUAUUAGAGAGGUGUCUGUAUCAGAGAGGUAUCUGUAUUAGAGAGGUGUUUGUAUUAGAGAGGUGUCUGAAUUAGAGAGGUGUUUGUAUUAGACCUGGGUAUGAAGCUGUCUGUAUUAGAGCUUUGUAUUUGAGAGGCGUCUGUUAUGAC